GACGAACGCUGGCGGCGUGCUUAACACAUGCAAGUCGAACGGAAAGGCCCUGCUUUUGUUGGGUGCUCGAGUGGCGAACGGGUGAGUAACACGUGAGUAACCUGCCCUUGACUUUGGGAUAACUUCAGGAAACUGGGGCUAAUACCGGAUAGGAGCUCCUGCUGCAUGGUGGGGGUUGGAAAGUUUCGGCGGUUGGGGAUGGACUCGCGGCUUAUCAGCUUGUUGGUGGGGUAGUGGCUUACCAAGGCUUUGACGGGUAGCCGGCCUGAGAAGGUGACCGGCCACAUUGGGACUGAGAUACGGCCCAGACGCCUACGGGAGGCAGCAGUGGGGAAUAUUGCACAAUGGGCGGAAGCCUGAUGCAGCAACGCCGCGUGCGGGAUGACGGCCUUCGGGUUGUAAACCGCUUUCGCCUGUGACGAAGCGUGAGUGACGGUAAUGGGUAAAGAAGCACCGGCUAACUACGUG
rnacentral:rRNA from 1 species